UACAGAUGGAUGCCAGUUUUGGAUAAAACAUGACUGAAUUCCCUAUCAGCCUCCCAGAGACUUGAGACUGGAAGAGAGACGUGUUCCUCUGGCUAUGUGAACAUGCAGCACAGCCAAGUUCUGUUGUCUGUUCUCAAAUAUCGGGUUAUGGCAGGGUAUUGCUGGAGUCCUUGCUGCUGCUGUCAUUUUGAUUUUGUGUAUUCAGUUUGUAAACCGUUCUUCAGCCAGAGAUUUUCCUGUCUGUCCUUCCCUGGAACUCUGUCCAUCAGAUUGGCUGUAUUUCCAGAGAAAAUGUUACUACAUCUCUGAGAGUGAAGCCAACUGGAACUCCAGUCAGAGCUUUUGCUCCUUGCACAAUGCUUCCCUCCUGGUGAUUGAAAAUCAUCAGGAACUGAGUUUUAUGGUGAAGAUAACAAAGCAAGACCCCUGGAUUGGACUUUAUAAAAGAAAUGAAGAGUUCUUUUGGGUAAAUGGGAAAGCAUUAGACACUACACUGUAAGUUGAUGUUGAGGGGUUUUGCUGGUGAUACUAGAUUAUAGGGGAGUAAGGAAGGAUAACUAAAUCCUUGAAAGAAAGGACUGUAGUGAUGUUGAAGGGAUGACUAUGGAGAGAGCAUGGAAUACAAUAAAGAUUUCACUUAGCAUUGUUAAAACUAUACCAAAUGAAAGUUAGAAGCUAAAUUUGUAAUGUCAGGUUCAGAAGCAACAUGGGACAGGAGCUCAUGGUAAGAGUAUAACAAAGUGAGAGUUAAACAAAGGAACCACGAAGACACCAAAGCAAUGAGGAGGAGGAAUUACAGUAACACAAAUUCCUCAUUAUAGAAUGCAUUUUGCAAAAGUGCAAACCUGCAUGCAACCUGCAAAUAUAUUUGGGAGGCUUCUAAGAGAUGUUUUCCUACUUCCUACAGAAUGUGCCUCCAGAAAAGGCUGCUGGAGAGAAAGGUGAAGCUGUGAAUUUAUGUUGCAUGAGCUGCUCUGAGGUCAUGGCCCUGUGUUCUAUCCCACCAAUGUCAGGUGUGGGGAGGUUUGUUCCUCCUCCCGAUAGCUGUCCCAUCUUCUCAGAGGCUGCUGCCUCUUGUCCUGAACAGCUGCUGGCUGGAGUUGGUAGAAUUACCGGUGGCAGUAAUAAGCAUUGAGAUUUCACAAGCCUGAAAUUAACUUAAAAAGUGGAAAAUUUAAAUACUUUUAAGUUUGUGACAUGACUAGUGGUGCGUAACUGUAUUCAGUCCAUUUCCAAGACUUGAGGGCUUGAUCUGAUAAAGACCUUACACAUUUAAUGUGAGAUGUGAGCAGCACCUAGGCGUCUCAAGUUGAAAAUUGCAGCCUUUCCUACUCUUGCUUAUCCCCUGCCUGCGAUACAGACAUCCACUGAAGCUUUCAUUUUCAGUGAUGUUGUUCACAUUCUUAGACUUCUGCCUCUGCGCUUGCCCCAGACUGCCCCUUCCAUCGUUAGAAAGGCAAACAUUUUAAUGUCUAAGCUCAGUUGCUGUUACUGUCGUGUUAAUACUGGUGGGAUUUGUCCCUUGGCUUUUCCAGAGACCAUAGUGGUGUGGUUGGCCUAUUCACAGAACACUGUCACACUUAGUUUGAGAACAGAGUUGGCGAAGAAGACGCUUACUCUUUACACAGGGACACCUACAGUGUGGAAACUGAAGUUUGCUUCCUGUUUUCCACUGCCCCCUUAACCAUAGUGCAGUGUUCAGUUCUGAGGAAGAGGGAAAUGAGAGAGGCAUUUGUUUCCCAGCUUCUUUUCAAAUGUUUUAGCUGUAUAAAAAGAUGUGGAAGUCAUAGGUGGAGCCAGUCUUGAUAGCACAGCGUCCUUGAGAAGGGCAAACCUGAAUUCCAGUCUCCACACCAAGGGCAUAUUUCACAUUAAGCGACCACUAGACAAGAUGGAGGAGUACCGCAAGUCCUAGAUUUUGUAUUCUGGUGGCCAGGUCCCAUGAAAAAAAGACGAUCCUGUGAUGCCUUGCCUAUGGUAAAUCAGGCUUUGUACAAAGAGAACCUGUGAUCCCGAAGUUCCCUUUUCUUUAUUGCAUUAUUUGAUUGUGGGUAUCGAAGUAAUUGUCUUUCAUUCUCCCGUACAGGAUUGAAGUAAAAGGCUCUGGAAACUGUGCCUACCUUGAAUCCAAAGGAGUCUCAGCCUCUGGAUGUUAUUUAACCAGGAAGUGGGUCUGUAGCUUGAAUAUUGGCUUAGCAUGAUAAAGGUGGAUGAAGCCACCACACCUGAUGCUUGGUGCUCUGAUAUGAUGUCAGCAUAGACUAUGUUUAUACUCUGGGACCUGGGAACACAUCUUGACUCCUGUCUGGAGGUGAAUGACUUUUCUGGUAGCCAGAAUUCUGCACCCAUGGAGGAAGCCUCUGUUGUUUAAACAUUCCAUUUAAAAGGCUUGCUUCAGCAUCUUAAGUCAUUUCCUUUCCCCAUUUUUCUAGCUACCACUCAGCCUGUAGUUGCCUUUUGAUGUGCUAUCAGUAUUUCUUCCAUUAACUCUUCUCUUGCAGGAUCAGGAGCAACUGCUCUUUUCCUUUUUGGUGUGCAGCUGGAGGUGGUGUUCUGCUUUUUCCUUAUCCCCUCUGUGUGCAAGGAUGGGUUGUGAAGUGUGGGUCUGCCUGAAAUUCUGCCAGUGCCUCUCAGAUACAGUGUGAUGCAGAAAUGAGCGCUGUUGGUUUGGACAGGAUCAUUGCAGAUUUUGCUCUCCCAGUUUGAUGAGGUGCAUCUUGUGUGACUCUGCUUUAUAUUGUGUUUUGUUAAUGCUAUUUUACAUUAAUCUUGUUAAAUUAGCUUGACAGUAUUAACAUUGUGGGAUUUAUGUAGCUGCACUGCACCUGAAGUUCUCCUUCCCACAGCAAAAAAGUCAGGAUAGAUAAGAGUAUUUAUUUACCUGAGCAUCUGCACAGAUGGGGAAAGAGUUUGAGAUGAAACAGUAAUAGUGAAGCUGCAGGCAUUAAUGUUGUAAAGUUAGAUAUAGUCCUCAGUGCAAAUAGGCAAAGUCAUGAGUAGGGAAUAAGAGAAUUAACAGCACAGGAUUUUUCUCCACGACUUCCUCAUGUCCUGUGCCUGUCUGAGCAUGAGGGUGGACGAUCUGUUUUCUGGAAGGACAAUCAGUGUUUUCUUCUGUGUGCAUAUCAUUUUCAGCAGCAACGUCCAGUGCUGUUGAAUUGCUAUGAGCCUUAAAGGAAUUAGGGCACAAUCCCUAAUGAACAGUGAACCCUGUCCACUCAUGUCUAGCAGGUAACCUGAAGACUUAAAGUGUCCUUUGACCUGGAGGAAGCAAAGCAGAUGGUUUUCCUGGAAGGACUAUUUCUAUGGGUAUCUAGAGAAGAAAGAAUGGGAAAAUCACGUGUAUAGCAGGGCGAAAUAGCUUCCUUGCUCGGCAUAAAAUCCGGAAAACUGUUUUUCUUGUGAUCUGGAUGCUAUGGAGAGGACUAUGGACUCUGUGGGACUUCUUGAAGGAGCAAGUGGAGCCAUUUUUGGAGUAGCCACUAGAGCGCACUGUAGUUUCAGAGAAGGGAAGAUAAUUGUGUCUUCUCAGUUAUUAAGAAUGUAAAACUGCACCAUGUUUGACAGCUUAUUUGGCGUGUGUUUUGUUCACUGGGCUUUUUUGUCCUAUUUGUAAUUAUUUUUGCCUUCACUGUGUUUUUAUGCAAAUUUAAUUUCUGUCUACUUAUGCUCAGCAUCUUGUUUAUGGCUUCAUUAUUUUCUGUGGCAAUAGGACCUUGCUGUAACAGGACUGUGCAGUAUGGAUAUUGUUAACAACAGACUUUACUAUGUUUAUUUAUAUAUGAGCACUAAUUUUGCUGAACUACCCUUUUUUUAAUUGCUUGUAUUCUUUAUAAGCACAGUAACAGGACUCUAUGGUCUGAACAGCCCGAUAAUCUAUGUGUUAAUUUAUAUGUAACUAGUUGGAGAGGUGUUAUUCUGCAAUCUUUUUAAAUUAACUAGCUCUGAAGGGUAUGGUAUGUGCAAUAGUCCUGAAAAGGUGCUUAAUAAAUAUCUUUACAGAACCUCUGAA